GACUGGAGGGUGUACUGCAAGCUCGCAGCGCAGAUAGUGUCCAAAAAUAAAUAAAACUGUAGAAAAAUAAAAAGAAAUGAGCACUGAACGGAGAGCCGGAAAGCCGCUGCGCCACCUAGGCGCGCCGCCAUGGUUUACCAGGCUUUAUGU